GUGCGCAGGAAACGCGAGAUAGAAAGUUGGCUAUAAACAAUGAUUAAUUGGUGCUACUAUGACGAACCCAAGUCUUACGUAAUCAACUUAUCAAUAUUGAAAGGAGAUAAAAGCAAUUGAUAAAGGAAUUAUCAGAAGGUUUCUAUAGACGUCCAGGUUGAUUGAUCAAGAUACAAGAAAACAAGCUAGGAUGGCUUAGAAACUCAUUCUAGAAAUAAACUAUUGUUUGAAUUUAUAUUUGGAUGUUUGAAACUUUGUAUUACCCUUUAGUU
rnacentral:lncRNA from 1 species